rnacentral:rRNA from 1 species
UACGUAGGGGGCAAGCGUUGUCCGGAAUUAUUGGGCGUAAAGAGCGUGUAGGCGGUCCGGUAAGUCAGCUGUGAAAGUCAAGGGCUCAACCCUUGAAUGCCGGUUGAUACUGUCGGGCUAGAGUCCGGAAGAGGCGAGUGGAAUUCCCGGUGUAGCGGUGAAAUGCGCAGAUAUCGGGAGGAACACCAAUUGCGAAGGCAGCUUGCUGGGACGGUACUGACGCUGAGGCGCGAAAGCGUGGGGAGCAAACAGG